rnacentral:rRNA from 1 species
UACGAAGGGGGCUAGCGUUGCUCGGAAUCACUGGGCGUAAAGGGUGCGUAGGCGGGGCUUUAAGUCAGGGGGGAAAUCCUGGAGCUCAACUCCAGAACUGCCUUUGAUACUGAAGAUCUUGAGUUCGGGAGAGGUGAGUGGAACUGCGAGUGUAGAGGUGAAAUUCGUAGAUAUUCGCAAGAACACCAGUGGCGAAGGCGGCUCACUGGACCGGUAUUGACGCUGAGGCGCGAAAGCUAGGGUAGCAAACGGG